rnacentral:rRNA from 1 species
GUCCACGCUGUAAAACGAUGGCAACUGGGUGUCUCGGGUAUUGACCCCCGAUGCGCCGAAGUCAACACGUUAAGUUGCCCGCCUGGGGAAGUACGGCCGCAAGGCUAAAAACUCAAAGGAAUUGACGGGGGCCCGCACAAGCGGUGGAGCAUGUGGUUUAAUUCGACGCAACGCGAAGAACCUUACCUGGACUCGAAAAUGCAGGAAGUUGGCUGAAAGGCUGAUGUGCUCGCAAGAGAGCCUGUAUCAGGUGCUGCAUGGCUGUCGU